GUAAGUGUGUUUUGCUGGAGAUCCCUGCCUACUGGAGGUCUUCCAAAGUGGUUUCCUUGUUCAGGGUGAUGGCAUGCCAUCAUUGUUCUUAUGCAAUGGCCUUCUACAGAUCUGGAUUCACUGACACAAUGGCUAGAAUGCACAGUUCACCAAAUCUCUUCUGCCCUCGCUCCUGAUUUUAACAUUCAGCUGAAGUAUUGCAGUUUUCCAUUCUCAAAGGAAAAGCAGGAGGAAAGGGUAUGGGACCACCAUGAGCAAGGGUUGCAUGUGUUUCAGGACCACCUCUGUUUCCUUAUGCUGUAGAAAAGCAUUAAAGAUGAGCGUGACCCUAAUCAGAUUAGAACCUGGACAGUCUUUUUGUAAAACACUUGAAGUGGUGUACAAGCUAGCUACAAAACUAUGUUGUCUGCAGUACUUCCUUAAUAUGCCCAUUUAAUGCCAAUUUGGUUUAUUAUUGUUCAGUUUCCUGAAGAAUAUCCUAUGAAGCGUUUGGAUAGUGGAACGAGUAUAUUUCAUGUUGAACAUAUGUUACUCACAAUGAAAUUCUCUUUGAGAUUUUAAUCUGUCCUCCUUUAUCACAGUACCUGGAAGAUUCAAAGGCUUUAAUGUAUUAUCCAUGCCAUAGCAGCGUGUAUGCUCCGUACUUAGAGUGAGACCCAUGACCCAAAUGCAGAAUGAAACAGGGCUGCUCCAAAGGUUUUCUGGUAGAUCCAUAUGCUGUUGCCCUCACUUCACAAAAGGUGACCUGAGGUCAGAAAACCUGAGGCCUUAAGGAAGAUCUCCAACAGGAGAUCUUGUGCAACCCCUCUCUCCAAACAGCUACUAAUUUAGUACUUGGAACAGCCAUGUUAUUUUGCAGGAGCCCUAAUUUAAGGCUUUCACAGCAUCUCAGGUAAGUGGCUUAAUUAAAGCUGUGGGAAUAACUGAUUUUCCAAUUUGUAGGACAGAAUUGCACAAAAUAGUCAGCUACACCCAAAACAAUUGCUCUGCUAUGGCUGUUUAUUAACACUUUGCUUACGUUCCUAUGUAAAGCCCUAUUCAGAAUGAAACUGACACUUAAAAUAUAGAGAUCAUACUCUUCUUUUUUCUUUCUUUUUUUUUCCCAGUGUUCUUUUACACAUUUCAAACUCAUUCUCUGAGGGCUCUGUUACUGUCCCAUGAGGCUCCAAUGGGAGGAAAGCUUUUUGUGAAUAGUCUGUAUUUCAAAAAUGAACAGAAGAGUUAUGUAUGUAAUAUUAAUAAAUGGUUCGACUCAGUACCUAAUGGUACUCAAGCUUCCUUUCUCAAAUUUUCCUUUUAGCAAAGUGGGCCUCUAUUCAAAAUGAAAAAUAAGACUAAUAAAAAAACCAAAAUGUUUGUAAUACGUGGUUGUCCAGCUGAAAACUUCUGUGUUUGCCCUCAAGAAAUUAAGUUCUUGCUGAAUGAAAUAUGCAAACCAUUUUCUUCACCAGAGUAAGACCGGACAAGAGAAACUCAGCAAACCAACCAUCUCAAAUGGGUUUUAUCAGGUAAUAUAUUUGGUAUAUUUGCCACCAAGAAACACUGAGCAUCUCAUUUGCUAGUGAACACUGAACUUGCUGGGAAAAAGAAGGAAAAAAAGGAGAUGAAAAGUAAAACUAAUGUAAAGAACCAUUUUUUUUGUCUGUACAGCUUCUUGGAGCCCUAUCUAAAAUAUGAAGGGACUUGUACAAGGCAGUCAAUAUUAUUCCAUAAGGAGCUGAAGAGAGUUAAAGCUGUCUUUAUUGCUAGUGGCCUAAUUUAAUUUAAUACCACUUUUAACAGGAAAGACAGUUUGCUUGAAUCAACUAAACAGAACUUCCUUAUUUUCUUAUUAAGAAUUACUUAUUAUAGGGAUGCCCAUUGCUGUUGUGAUAGUGCACAUUAUAUAUUAGAAAUAAACUGGUCAUGAACAAUUUUCUUAACAAAUAAGGUAUAUUGUAAAACAGAUGUUAAUUGAAUUGUGCAUCUGCUAUAUCAGAAAAUGACGUGUAAGACAAAGGAAUUUUGCUUUUAAAUCCCAGGCUGUCUGGAUUAUGCCUCCUUCUAACAAAUAAGGAUUUAAAGUCAAUUUUCUCAGUUGAAUUGUUUUUUUUUUCCCUUCUUUCAAACAUGUCUUUGUGCCAACUGGCUGUCGUUAAACUGAAAAGGUUGUGGGCACUGCAGUUGACUUCUGGAGAUUAAUUCAGGCAGUAGACUGUACAGAUAAAAUUUGGGCUUUGCAGUGUAUUUGAACAAAAUGAACAAAAUGUACCUUUGCUCUGAUGGCAACUCAGUGGGUGUAAAGUUGAAACAAGGAAAAUGGCCUUAUAGAGUCCGUUGCAGUGAUCGCUGCAAUGAGAGAAGAUAUUUGUUUGCUAUAGAAAAAGGCUUUCUAUUGUCCUACACCAGUGUGAAAGACCUGAUGAAGUACAUCAUAAAGGACAUAGGGCCUGGCUGGUGUCAGAGACAAGGUUCCAAAGGCUGACACUGGGUCUUGUUAAGCAGCUGAUGGCAGCAGGGUUUACUUUAUGUGCCCACAUGCUGGGCACUCUCAAAGCACUGGAGGAAACAGAAACACCAGUAAAGAAACAAAUGACUAUCCUUUGUUCUUUCACAUAUGUACCCAAAUAUUAUCUGAGAAAAAUCAGAGCUUUGUGGAGCUCUGUAUUCGCAUAUAAUACUUUUGCUUAUGUCCAUCCUCCUAACAUUGGUAAGCUGGUGAUGCUUUUUGUUAUUUCAACGAUAGUCCAUGUAAGCUUCAUACUGACAACUGUGUCCUUUCUUUUCUACGUUGUUGUAUUUUUAUACAGUGAAUUAGCCUACUUUUAGGGAAAAUGGUGAUAACCUCUGAUCUGAUUGUCACUUGGUCAGUAAUGACAGAAGGAAGCACUGGAAGAACAGAAGAUGCAAAAACCAUCAUUAAAUACUGUGUAAACACUUGGGGAACUGAAUCAAGAUACAGAUAAGAUUUCUUCCAGCAUUUAUAUAUAAAUACCUACGCAGGAAUUUGAAUGAAUACAAGAAUGUUGCUUUAUAGAGGGAGAAGAAGGAGGGAUUUCCUAGCAGAAUCAUUGCUGCAGAUGAAACAGUGCCAAAAGUGGAAAGGCAGAUGUGGGACUGAGACAGGCAGGGAUGGAGAAUGGAAAGAUCAGACAGAUGUAACAUGAAAUGGCAGACAGGAGAUCAAUGGAAUGAUUCAAAAGGUUGAGUGACAAGAUGAAAGGAACAGGAAAGAGAAAUUUUACUAUUUACAUUUUAAAAAGAAGCAAACCAAAUAGCUCUGGCAGUGAUUUUGAGAUUAUCUAGCCCAUCUCCCUCCCUAAGGCAGGAUGAACUACAUUUAAACCAAGCCUGACAGAUGCUUGUCUAACCUAUUUGUGGAUCUGGCAGUCUCCCUUGCUUUCUGCUGUCUCACUGGUCAUACUACAAGGCAGACUUUCUUCUGUUCAAUCUGUAUUGCCUCCUCCAUUCUACAUGUGGGUGUCAAUUUGUUCCCCUUCUCAUUUCAGAAGCCUUUGUUGGACAUGAAAGCUGUUACCAUUUCACCCUUCUCUUCUCUAGAUGAAACAACACCAGAUCCUUCCCUGCACCUCAUGCUUCUGAGAGUGGGGAUCCUCCUAGGCUAAACUCUUCCAACUGUUAAUUAGAAGUAUGGUGCUAAAGCUGGAUGCAGUACUCUCACUGAGAUCUCACCAGCUGGAAAGGAUUACUUCACUUGCCUCAUAGACAACACAUCAUCCUGCUGACACAUCUGUCUUAUUCACAGUGCAGCUGAUUCACAGUCAGCUUGGGAUGGCUAUAUGUACUUUAGCAAGCACUGUGUGGCAACAGGAAGGAAAGCAUAGGGUGAAACAGCUGGUACUGAGCAUAUGGUCACACUGCCUGCGCACAAGAUUUCCACCUUGGAGCAGGCUUGGUCUAGCAUUGCAGCCUGAAUGCCCAUUAGCAGUUGCAGUGUGCUGGGGUGCACCCAAAGCAUAUAAUCUGGCUCAGUCUUUGUGGGAAGGAAUCAUCUUGUUCCAUAUGCUCCAAGAAAACAAAGCUUGAUAAUUAGUGAUUUGCUUCAACAAUGCACUUCUGAUCAGAACUGAAAUACUAGUGUACUGCAUCCUGCAACAUCCCAUUUUUUAAUGGUGAGCUGCUUCAAAGCCAAUAGCUCCAUCUUCAAUAUGUACAGUUCUUUUCUGACUCUGAGCUGUACUGUGCUCUAGUCCCUGUUAAAUAGCACCAUAUUUUUUUAGUCUGUAACUUCAAUUUGUCAAGAUCAUUUUGAUUUCUAAGGCUGUCCUCUAACAUGCUUGCAGGCUUUUUCAACUUUGUCAGAUUGUCAGCUUUAAUAAGCAUACUGUCUAUUCCAGCAUCCAUGCCAUUUAAUAAAGUUCCAGAAUAGGACUUUAGCCAGGAGAGACCCCUAGUAUGUCUGCAGUAAAUGUAGCCUUCUAUUUUGACAGUGAUUAACAAAGAGACAGAAAACGCCUCUUCCACUCUUCCUACAGAACCCAACCUUAUAUUAGUUCAAUCAAGCUGCAUUUCCCUCGUAUGCUCAUGAAAAUGUUC